rnacentral:pre_miRNA from 1 species
CUAGUACUCCCUCCGUCUCAAAAUUCUUGUCUUAGAUUAGUCUAGAUACGGAUGUAUCUAAUACUAAAACGUGUCUCGAUACAUCCGUAUUUAGACAAAUUUAAGACAAGAAUUUUGGGACGGAGGGAGUAAGUU